CUCCCUUGCCCCGCCCACUUCCAAACGGCCAGUCUCCGCCAAUCUUCGGAUGCCCAGGACAGCCUCCCUCAAACCGCUCGCGGGGUCCCGCCUCCACCCAAGGUCCUAAACGCCCCACCAACGGGAUCACGCCUCUGAGCCCCUCCCGCCGCCCCUUCAGGGCACCUCUCCCCUCCCCCGCUGCUACCCCACGGGAUGUGUACUUUGUCACCCGCCCUGUGCGUUGCCACCUCCACCAAGUCCCCUCGGCUGACUUCUGGGAACUUCCUCCGCAGAACCCCUCAAGAGGUCACCUGCUCCCAGAAGUGGGCCUGCAUCCCUGUCUGUAAAGUGAGGACACUGGCAUGAGGGCUGAGGCCUCUGGUUCUGCGUCUGGAGAGCUGGGGUUUGGGCUGGUGGACGUGAGAACUGGGGAUGGUGGAUCAGACAGCAUGAGCGAGUGCUCCAAGGCUGUCAAGUCCAAUAGUCACAUCCCUCUUUGCCUCCCCAAACCCCACAGCACCCCCUGCCUGUUCCCACUGCCAUGCGUUUGCCCACAGUGUUCCCUUGGCCUGAAAUCCUUUCUGCUCCGCAACUGUAGUUGCCUUUGGGACCCACAUUGCCUGGUUACGCUUGGCCAAUGCAUUGUGUUCUUAUUUGCUUCACAAACCCCCUUUCCCCACCCCACCCUCCUGCACACAGUUGCCUCCGUGUAUUCUGUGUCAUAUGACCAGCAUUGAACCAAUUCAUCCCACUUCCCGUGGCACCCAGCCCAGGACUGGUGCCAGAAAAAUAUCUGUUGAAUGAAUGAGUAAACAAACAUCGCUUGGG
rnacentral:lncRNA from 1 species